rnacentral:rRNA from 1 species
CUACGGGGGGCUGCAGUCAAGAAUCUUCCUCAAUGGCCGAAAGGCUGAAGGAGCGACGCCGCGUGUAUGAGGACGCCCUUCGGGGUGUAAAAUACUUUUCUAUGGGAAGAAACAAUGACGGUACCAUAGGAAUAAGGGGCUGCUAACCUCGUGCCAGCAGCAGCGGUAAUACGAGGGCCCCGAGCGUUAUCCGGAUUUAUUGGGCGUAAAGAGUCUGUAGGCGGUUUUUCGCAUCUCCUGUUAAAUCUCAAGGCUCAACCUUGAGGCCGCGGGAGAGAUGGAUAAACUAGAGACCGGAAGAGGCAAGCGGAAUUGCUGGUGUAGGGGUUAAAUCCGUUAAUAUCAGCAGGAACACCAAAUGCGUAGGCAGCUUGCUAGGACGGUUCUGACGCUGAGAGACGAAAGCGUGGGGAGCGAAUGGGAUUAGAUACCCGAGUAGUC